rnacentral:rRNA from 1 species
GGGGGAGGGGGGGGGGGGGGGGGACGCGGGCAGGGCGAACGGGAGCGGGCGGCAGGGUGCGGACGAGUGGCGGACGGGGGAGUGAUGCAUCGGAACGGGCCCAGGCGUGUGGGGGAACUACUCGCAAGAGUAGCUGAUAGCGCAUACGAGCUAUGGAUGAAAGCGGGGGACCGUAAGGCCUCGCGCGAGUGGAGCGGCCGAUGUAAGAGUAGGUAGUUUGUGGGUGAAAGGCUCACCAGACCAACGAUCGGUAGCUGGUCUGACAGGACGACCAGCCACACUGGGACUGAGACACGGCCCAGACUCCUACGGGAGGCAGCAGUGGGGAAUUUUGGACAAUGGGCGCAAGCCUGAUCCAGCAAUGCCGCGUGCAGGAAGAAGGCCUUCGGGUUGUAAACUGCUUUUGUCCGGAACGAAACGGCUCUGGUUAAUACCCGGUGCUAAUGACGGUACCGUAAGAAUAAGCACCGGCUAACUACGUG